UAAAUGGAGCGAUUAAAUGAUAAGUAGCAUGCAGGAAAAACAGAAUUUUUAUCCAAAAUAAAAUUUUACCUGAGUGUGUGAUCAAGGAUCAUAGAUUUGAUAAAGAAAAUUUCAAAUCCAUUACCGAAACUGAACUUGAAAGUUUCCAGGGAUUCAUGCCUUCAUUUCAUAGCCUAGGAAGAGACUUAUUGUCAAAAGCACAGAAUUCCAAGUGGCCAGUAAAGACACCUGUUCAACUCUUGUAAGCUUUCGAAUACUUGAAAAUGGAAUUACCUACGGGAUGAUGGCAGGCGCUCUUCAUUCGGACAUUUCGCUGCAGUUUUUGAAUAUGUGAAGCGGAAUAGACCGCCAGAGUUGAAGUGAAAAGAAAUUCGUCCUGUGAAUCCUGGUUACGAUCCCGACAGUUUCCUAAUUAUUUACUCACGAGUAGUAAUCUAGAAACGGUUAGCUGUGCAGAGCUGUGCAGCCGGAUUAAUUUUCGGUAUUCAAUUUCAUUUUUGUCACUUUAACUAUUAAAACUUUGCCUUCCUUUCGUGCCGUUGAUUAUUACAGAGUAAACUGUGACAAAUUUACUAUCGAAUUUUGCUAAAAUUGAUACUUUUAGAAAUUAUUCUCAGACCCUAUAAUUGCUUAAAAGGUGCAAAUAUAGAACCUGCAGAAUUUUACGUUGGGAUCGUUCAUUCAAAUUCUAUCGAAACUUUAUUACUUUUAGAAAUUCGACUCCUUUUUGCUGCUUUUCAAGAAACUUGUUUUGCUUCUUCCUCGCUAUCUACGCAGUUUAAUUUUUUGAAUUACUUUUUCUAAAAACAAAAAACGAGAUUUGGCUUCCACAGAGCAUUUCAGCGAAUUAUUCGUUACCCUAAAAGGCUUCCGAAAAAGGCCAAGACCUGGCACAUUGAAUCAAAAAAGUGUUGGCAUCUUGGCAUGCAGUGAAUUAUUCGUAGUCUAUUCUCGACGUAUGCAGGAUGAAGAGCUCCCUCAUUUUACUGAUGUUUCUACUGCUAGGCAUUCACGCCGUUAUUGUGAAUGGAGCACGCCGUUAUCAUCCAAUUCAAAGCGGGUCAUCUCCUGAUCAGUAUCACCGCCAGCAAAACCAGCAUUAUAACAACGUCUACGAAGACUACAGUAAUCACUAUCAUGCUUAUUAUCCCUUUCCAAUUACGUUCGUCUACGGAGCCAUAGGUCCUGCCAGAGGCUAACAGCUGUUUCCAGAAGUUUGCAAAAAGCUACGACGUAAGGUGUUUCCAAGCUGUAGUUUGAAAACGUAGCAAUAUAUACAGUUACACAAA